AAACUCUGGAAAAGUUAGUGGUCGAAUUAAGUGGCACAACUAUUUAUUAAAGAAGAACAAGACUGCUAGUGAAGACCUCCUAAAUGGCACUAUGACGCCACCAACGACAUAGGCUUGAUCAAGUUGGACUCUCCCCUCAUGGAUCCGGCUUCCCUUAUCCCCCUCUGCAAUAGAAGACCUCCCCCCGGAGGAAUGUAUGGGAUGUGUGGUUUGGGUACUACUGAUCUGCGUUGCAAACAGAGUGCCGACGUGCUUCAAGAGACAAUUCUGCGGGAAAGAGUUUUGACUAUUUGGGACAUCAAUGAUGACGAGUACUUUAUGAGUGUAAUACAUAUGGAAAAUACAGUUAUGAACAGUUGCACAAAUAGGGGCGACAGUGGGUCCCCCCUCUUCCUAAUCAGCACCGACGGGUGUGGUCGGGCCCAGUGUCUGUACGGAAUAACAUCACACAGGACACGAAAAUCAGAAAUUAUGAAACGUGACUCAUCUUAUUUAGCCAAUAUGUAUUUUGUGAGCGUGCCGAGAUUUUAUA